GGACCCGCACAAGCGGUGGAGCAUGUGGUUUAAUUCGAAGCAACGCGAAGAACCUUACCAGGUCUUGACAUCCCUCUGAAUACAGUGUAAUGGCUGUAGGCUUUCGGGACAGAGGAGACAGGUGGUGCAUGGUUGUCGUCAGCUCGUGUCGUGAGAUGUUGGGUUAAGUCCCGCAACGAGCGCAACCCUUAUUCUUAGUAGCCAGCAAGUGAAGUUGGGCACUCUAGGGAGACUGCCAGGGAUAACCUGGAGGAAGGUGGGGAGUGACGUCAAAUCAUCAUGCCCCUUAUGAUCUGGGCUACACACGUGCUACAAUGGCGUAAACAAAGGGAAGCAAGAGAGUGAUCUGGAGCAAAUCCCAAAAAUAACGUCUCAGUUCGGAUUGUAGUCUGCAACUCGACUACAUGAAGCUGGAAUCGCUAGUAAUCGCGAAUCAGAAUGUCG
rnacentral:rRNA from 1 species